GGUAUAUUUACGUAACAACCUCUCCCUCCGCGAGUCGGCAGUUCUACCGGUCUUAUUGGGAAUCAAAGUUUCUUGGUUAGAAAAUCAUGGCGUUGGUUUCUGCUAGAGCAAUUUUCAGUCCAGUUCUCCGGCAGACGGUGAAACAAAUUAUCGGGAACCGUCAACUGACCAAAUACCGACAUGGCCGGCUCUGUGCAAGACUUUUAUUACCCACAGUAACAGCCCAGCGAUUUUAUGCCGAGAAAAAAGUAUUUCUUAGGGACAAGCCGCAUUGCAAUGUUGGAACCAUUGGCCACGUUGAUCAUGGCAAAACCACACUCACCGCAGCCAUCACCAAAGUACUCGCUGAGAAGGAAAUGGCCACCGCAAAGGCGUACAAUGAGAUCGACAAUGCGCCGGAGGAAAAGGCACGUGGAAUUACUAUUAAUGUAGCCCACAUUGAGUACCAAACUGAGAAUCGUCAUUAUUCACACACGGACUGCCCUGGACACGCCGAUUACAUAAAAAAUAUGAUCACUGGAACCUCUCAGAUGGACGGUGCCAUUCUCGUCGUCGCUGCCACCGAUGGUGCCAUGCCCCAAACAAGGGAGCACUUGCUUCUCGCUAAACAAAUCGGCAUCAACUACAUUGUCAUUUUUAUCAACAAGGUUGACGCAGCUGAUGAGGAAAUGGUUGAGUUGGUGGAGAUGGAAAUUCGCGAACUCAUGACAGAGAUGGGAUAUGACGGAGAAAAUGCGCCGAUCAUAAAGGGAAGCGCACUCUGUGCUCUUGAAGGAAAAAAACCUGAAAUUGGGUCUGAAUCAAUUACAAAGCUCCUCGAGGAAGUAGACAGGUACAUUCCUACUCCUGUUCGCGACCUGGAUAAGCCAUUCCUACUUCCAGUCGAACAAACCUAUUCCAUACCGGGCCGAGGGACUGUUGUAACAGGUCGAUUAGAGCGUGGAGUCCUGAAGAAGGGAAAUGAGUGCGAGUUGGUUGGUUAUGGUAAAGUUCUUAAAACUGUGGUAACAGGAGUAGAAAUGUUCCGACAAAUAUUGGAAGAGGCUCAGGCGGGAGAUCAGCUUGGAGCUCUUAUCCGAGGUGUUAAGAGGGAUGAUGUUAGAAGAGGCAUGAUACUUGCGAAACCUGGAACCGUCAAAGCACAGGAUCAGGUUGAGGCUCAAAUUUACGUUCUCAGCAAGGAAGAAGGGGGCAGGGCUAAGCCAGUUCUCAACUUCAUGCAAUUACAAAUGUUUUCAAAAACGUGGGAUUGUGCUACCCAAGUGCAAAUCCUUGAGAAGGAUAUGGUCAUGCCAGGAGAGGACACAAAGCUUCUACUGAAACUAUUUAAGCCAAUGGUAUGCGAACAAGGUCAACGGUUUACGAUACGAGAUGGAAUUGUAACUCUGGGAACAGGUGUCAUUACAAAAAUAUUGCCACCUCUGAAUGAAACCGAAAGGUUGGCACUUACUGAAGGAAAGAAGGCCCGUGAGAAGAAAUUAGCGAAAGCGAAUUAAUUUAGCAGUAAUACCGAACACACAUUCACAUUGUUAUCACUUUAAAGCUCGAAGGCAAUCCUAAAGGUUUCGUGUUCUGUCAGCGCGUAUAACUGAUAUUACAAAAAAAUGUGAUUCUCGAGAGUGACAUUCGUACCAUUGAACUUUGGAAGAAUGGUAAAGCAUGACGCCAAUUAUACCAUGAAACAUGAACCGAAUGUUGUUACUUUGAAGCUCCAGAUGUCCAGCCGCUUUUUUUUUUUUUUUUUACAUUUUCUUGUAAGUAAAACCAUUUUAAUUAUCAUACCGCUAGUGUAAGUAGUACCUGUAGAUAUUAUCGUCAAUAAAAUUGAGAAGAAAAUGUUCGGAUCGGUUUUCCUCAGCGAAUUUUUCAUUCAACCACAGCAAGCAACAUCUAAAUACUGAAAUAACAAUAAAUGGUAAAUGAAAAUGAAAAACGCAGAAGAAUCAGUUUCAUUGUUGAUUUAUUUAUUUCACAUGUAUUAGCGGUGUAAUUUUCUCUUCGCACAAAUCCUUCUCUAUUGAUUGAUAACGAAAGGAAGAAUUGAUCGAAAUUACAACGUUCAAAAAUUCAAUACUACUACAUAAUGUAAUGUUUAAAGUGAUGUUAACAUUGUUACAAAAAGAAGUAAUCAAAAUUUUCCACACAGUUUGUGUAAAGAAGUCUGUCACACAAAUUUUCUAUUUACGUUAAUCAAAGAAAAUAAAAAUAAAAAACGAAUAGAAUAAAUUAACUGGUUCGAGUACACAAGAAAAAAAACUGUAGGUAAUUUUUGUUACAAUUUAAAUUCAAGCCGAACAAAGCAUACAUACACUUUCGCUUAUAAAAAUAGUAAACAGUCCUCAAGAACGUGGAAAGACGCAAACAUACUCUGUCCAUACGAGUACAAUUCAUGGAACGAUAUUACAUAGUUUAGUAAUUAUUUAUUAAUAAUCUACCCUUUCAAGCACACACUCGCAGACAACAGACAAUCCCUAAAGUAGCCGGUUACUCCCAAUAAAUACCAUUGUUACUUUUUUUUUUGGAACCAUUCUUCUUGUAAUUUUAAAUUCAGUUUAGUUCACAGUGAGCUAACACGCAUUCUUAUGCAAUCGAAGGACUUUUUCUUUGCAAAAGUAUCUUUCGUGUAUAUUACGAUUCAUGUUAUAAUUAAUCCUUGUCAUUAAAAAUAAGUCAAGAAUUUAACACAUGUUUCAGUAUACGGUUCUAAUUUUGAAAAUAAAGCAAAACCAUUGAUUAUUAAAUAAGUUAAAUGUAUUUUAGUAUCCACAAAUACAACAAUUGUAACCAGCAUACAAGAAAAAAAAUGAUUGCAGAAAAAAGUAGACGUUAAAAAUUAUGCAGUCGAUGCAUUAUUCACAAUAAAAAAUUUUAAAGUGAACAAUCACAAAAAUAUCCAACUUUAAAACGCGCUAAUUUCAUAAUCGAAUAACUACAAUGUUAUCAGAAUA
rnacentral:misc_RNA from 1 species